GAGGCUGUACUUUCAGGGAUCAUUUCUACAGUCCAUUACUAGAGAAGUUUCUCUGCUUGAGUAGAGCACCCAAAACCACAAACAGGAGCCAAAGUUUCCCCUGCUGAGCCUGAAGCCAGGUGUAGGUGUUGUUAUUGCAGCUGCCUUUUACCAUUGGUAAUUGUUCUUCUCUUCCCUGCAAGAGGGAGAAGGAGAGAUGUAGUCUGAGUUG
rnacentral:snoRNA from 1 species